rnacentral:misc_RNA from 1 species
CUUAAUUACUAACAAUGUUUUGUAAAUUCAGAAAACUUUCCCGCAAAUACAAUUAAGAUACAUCGAUCAUUUAUAUUUCAUUUUACCAUUAGUCGAAAAAACUUAUGGAGCGAGUACGAGUCGAUUGGGAUUCCUUAAAGGAGAAAGAGGAACUUAAAAUCAUGCACAAACAUGCUAAUAGCGGGAGACGCUACACAUUCAUUACAAUGAUAAUAAUGUACACGAUGAUAUUUUUGCAUACGUUAAUAUUUUUUUCGACACACAUUUUUAACACCCUGAUACCGUUGAACAAGUCGCGCACAAAUCGCGAACAUUUAUGGCACUUACCGAACAUGAUGGAACACUUUAUUGAUCGAGAGAAGUACAUUUAUUUAUUAAUAGUUUAUCUGUUGCUGAUAGGCUUCAUAGGUGCUACCGUAUUGCUAGUUGUCGAUUCGCUUUGUAUUAUGUAUAUACAACAUAUAACCGCACUGUUUCAAAUCACCAGUUACCGAAUUGAACGCAUUGUAAGUAAAAGUCGGAUGAAAUCAUUAGGCUUUUCAAAAAAGUCUGAUACUUAUGAAAACAUCGCAAAAACCAUCGAUAGUCAUCAAAGAGCUGUCGAUUAAUAGAACAUGAAGUUUUCAAAUUUGACUACUGUUUAAGAUUUCUCAAUUCUAUGCAGUCUAUGUAUGAAAUUGUCUACAUGUUCCUAAUUCCUAUAAGCGUGGUAACGUUAAGCAUUAAUCUAUAUCAGUUUUAUGAGCACAUUAUAUCAGGUACUGAAGGGAUUGUCAUAUGGCUCGGGUACAUUGCUUGUCAUUUUAGCACCAUGUUUUUGCACAAUUAUUUCGGUCAACAAAUAAUAGAUUACAGCAAUAAUAUAUUUAAAAAAUUAUGCAGCAUUCAAUGGUACAUGACUCCAUUAUAUACGCAAAAAUGUCUUUUAUUUAUGAUGCGCAGAAAUAUGAAAAGUUCCAAAAUAAUGAUUAGCUCUGUGUUCACGGCAUCUUUAGAAGGCUUUGCUACGCUCCUCAAUGCAACGCUAUCAUAUUUUAUGCUAAUUUAUUCUAAACGCCAUUCAUAAUUACAAAAUAGAUGCGUAAUCGAUAAAUAUUUUUAUGGAAAAGAAUUUUGCGUUAAAUAGAAGUCCAUAUUUCUGAA